GAACGAGGGGUCCAAGCGUUGUUCGGAAUUAUUGGGCGUAAAGCGGGUGUAGGCGGCUCUAUAAGUUAGAAGUGAAAGCCCCUGGGCUUAACCCGGGAAGUGCUUUUAAUACUGCAGAGCUUGAAUGUGGGAGAGGGUAGUGGAAUUCCAGGUGUAGUGGUGAAAUACGUAGAUAUCUGGAGGAACACCGGUGGCGAAGGCGGCUACCUGGCCCAACAUUGACGCUGAGACCCGAAAGCAUGGGGAGUCAAAACAGG
rnacentral:rRNA from 1 species